rnacentral:rRNA from 1 species
UACGAAGGGGGCGAGCGUUGUUCGGAAUUACUGGGCGUAAAGGGCGCGUAGGCGGCCGAUCAAGUUAGAUGUGAAAGUCCUGGGCUUAACCUGGGGACUGCAUUUGAUACUGAUUGGCUUGAAUUCGGGAGAGGAUAGCGGAAUUCCCAGUGUAGAGGUGAAAUUCGUAGAUAUUGGGAAGAACACCGGUGGCGAAGGCGGCUAUCUGGACCGACAUUGACGCUGAGGCGCGAAAGCUAGGGGAGCAAACGGG